rnacentral:sRNA from 1 species
UGACCCUCAUGGGUCACCUAGCCAACUGACGUUGUUAGUGAAUGUAUUAUUCACAAAUUACAGCCAAUAGAUACCUUAUCUAUUGGCUAUUUUUUU